CCCAUUGAGCCAUAUUAAUAUUACUGGCCCUACUUUUAAACCUCUUUUUUUUUUUUUUUUGGCGGGGAGGGAGGUGCUGGGUCAGGGUCUCACUAUGUGUCUCUUUCAGGCCUGGAACUCACUGUUUAGACCAAGCUACCCUGGAACUCAGAGCUCUGCCAGCAAUAAUAUAGAAUUAGAGCUAGAUACUACAGAAAAAAAAAUGACAUUUUCUUACUACAAGUGACUUGGGAAUUAGAUGCUAAUGAGGCUCAGUUAUGGUUAAGAAACCUAGGAACAGCUCAGACCUGUCACCUUUGUCCCAGAGGCAGAGGAAAGCUGGCGCGGCUCCCAGACUCCGUCUGACGCCCCAGGCUUCAGUGAUGUAGGCAAGGAGAGGUGAGAGUGGCCCUCUCGGCAGCUCCCAAGGACUUGAACUGCUGCCCCUGAGUCUCAAGGGAGGGAAAAUGCGGUGCUGAAGUAACUUUGACCUGGGCCUUGUAAUCCAGGUGACAGUGCCCUUCCUCAGCUGUGUCCACCACUUCUGUAGCUUGCGGAAGGGGUUUGGCUGUAGGCAGAGAAACGGGAAGAGCCGUGACCUCCUUUUAUCUGGAGCAUGCCAGGUGACACUUUGCGUUUGUUGCCUGAGCUUUGAGAGUUGGGGGCUACAGCUGCAGGAAGCUGGCGUUUACUGAGAGCAGAAAUUCACAUCUAGGCGAAUCAGGCUGCCCAAGCUGUAGCAGUAGCCACUGCAUUUUGGCAGCAACCUGGCUUCCAUGAAGUUUCUUUGUAUUGGAGCGUCUUUUACCUAGCAGCAGGAAAUGACUUAGAGGCCUUAUGGAUGCGACUGUGCUUUCUUUCUUCAGGCUUUACAGCUGCAGGCCAACCCAGGCUGGAAGCCCUGCUUGUUAAUGUUACAAGGAACCUGCUACCUCAGCAAACAAAAGCAAGAAGACACACAGUAACAAUGCCAUGCUUAAAGAAAACUUGUUUCCAGAAACCCUUACAGGAGGUUUGGAAGUUUUUAGCACUGAAAAGCAGCUUUCCAGGUAAAUGGAUUUGACAGGCAGGUUCUGUCAAUUCUGCAGAGGUGUGCUCUUCCUUAAGGAUUUCUUGUGAAGUAACUAACCCCUUCCGCCUAAAUGCUGUUGACCAGCGUAGGGUCGUUUUUUGGUAUAUAGAAGAUACAUUAUAUUACAUUUUAAAAGUUAAGUUAUUUUUCUGCUGUUGUAAAUGUAAGUAUCAAAAUAUUCUUGCAAAAUAAUUAUAAGCAAACAUUUUUCUCAGAAAGCAUAUCUUUAUUGAGGGUAGGAUGCAUUUCAGACACACUUUUAUUUUUUGUCAGAAUUCCUGCCUACAUUGAAAACAUUAAUUAUAUAAUAAGCCUGCCAUUUUUUCCUCACCUUUAUGUUGGAUCACAUGGUUACCUGCCUCAUGGAAAUGCCUUUUCUAAAACUUAGAUUUGCAGAACUCCACUAUUUUUAUGUAUAGCUACAGUUUUGGGAAAAAAGGACU